GCACAGUUGUUUAAUGGUUAGAACUUUUGUCUCACACCUCGAGGGUUGGGGGUUUGAAUCCCUCCUCCA